CACGUAGGGGGCGAGCGUUGUCCGGAUUUAUUGGGCGUAAAGAGCUCGUAGGCGGCUCAGUAAGUCGGGUGUGAAAACUCCAGGCUCAACCUGGAGACGCCACCCGAUACUGCUGUGGCUAGAGUCCGGUAGGGGAGCAUGGAAUUCCUGGUGUAGCGGUGAAAUGCGCAGAUAUCAGGAGGAACACCGGUGGCGAAGGCGGCCUGCUGGGCAGUAGCUGACGCUGAGGCGCGACAGCGUGGGGAGCAAACAGG
rnacentral:rRNA from 1 species